rnacentral:rRNA from 1 species
GUCGAACGGUAACAGGUCUUCGGAUGCUGACGAGUGGCGAACGGGUGAGUAACACAUCGGAACGUGCCUAGUAGUGGGGGAUAACUACUCGAAAGAGUAGCUAAUACCGCAUGAGAUCUAAGGAUGAAAGCAGGGGACCUUCGGGCCUUGCGCUACUAGAGCGGCUGAUGGCAGAUUAGGUAGUUGGUGGGAUAAAAGCUUACCAAGCCGACGAUCUGUAGCUGGUCUGAGAGGACGACCAGCCACACUGGGACUGAGACACGGCCCAGACUCCUACGGGAGGCAGCAGUGGGGAAUUUUGGACAAUGGGCGAAAGCCUGAUCCAGCAAUGCCGCGUGUAGGAUGAAGGCCCUCGGGUUGUAAACUACUUUUGUACGGAACGAAAAGACUCUCUCUAAUAAAGAGGGUCCAUGACGGUACCGUAAGAAUAAGCACCGGCUAACUACGUGCCAGCAGCCGCGGUAAUACGUAGGGUGCAAGCGUUAAUCGGAAUUACUGGGCGUAAAGCGUGCGCAGGCGGUUAUGUAAGACAGAGGUGAAAUCCCCGGGCUCAACCUGGGAACGGCCUUUGUGACUGCAUAGCUNGAGUACGGUAGAGGGGGAUGGAAUUCCGCGUGUAGCAGUGAAAUGCGUAGAUAUGCGGAGGAACACCGAUGGCGAAGGCAAUCCCCUGGACCUGUACUGACGCUCAUGCAC